GAAACUAGAUACAAGCGAGCGGCGGACGGGUGAGUAACACGUGGGUAACCUGCCCAAGAGACUGGGAUAACACCUGGAAACAGAUGCUAAUACCGGAUAACAACACUAGACGCAUGUCUAGAGUUUGAAAGAUGGUUCUGCUAUCACUCUUGGAUGGACCUGCGGUGCAUUAGCUAGUUGGUAAGGUAACGGCUUACCAAGGCAAUGAUGCAUAGCCGAGUUGAGAGACUGAUCGGCCACAUUGGGACUGAGACACGGCCCAAACUCCUACGGGAGGCAGCAGUAGGGAAUCUUCCACAAUGGACGAAAGUCUGAUGGAGCAACGCCGCGUGAGUGAAGAAGGGUUUCGGCUCGUAAAGCUCUGUUGGUAGUGAAGAAAGAUAGAGGUAGUAACUGGCCUUUAUUUGACGGUAAUUACUUAGAAAGUCACGGCUAACUACGUGCCAGCAGCCGCGGUAAUACGUAGGUGGCAAGCGUUGUCCGGAUUUAUUGGGCGUAAAGCGAGUGCAGGCGGUUCAAUAAGUCUGAUGUGAAAGCCUUCGGCUCAACCGGAGAAUUGCAUCAGAAACUGUUGAACUUGAGUGCAGAAGAGGAGAGUGGAACUCCAUGUGUAGCGGUGGAAUGCGUAGAUAUAUGGAAGAACACCAGUGGCGAAGGCGGCUCUCUGGUCUGCAACUGACGCUGAGGCUCGAAAGCAUGGGUAGCGAACAGGAUUAGAUACCCCUGGUAAGUCCCAUGCCGUAAAACGAUGAGUGCUAAGUGUUUGGGGAGGUUUCCGCCUCUCAGUGCUGCA
rnacentral:rRNA from 1 species